rnacentral:rRNA from 1 species
CACGUAGGGUGCAAGCGUUGUCCGGAAUUAUUGGGCGUAAAGGGCUCGUAGGCGGUCCGUCACGUCGGGAGUGAAAACUCGGGGCUCAACCCCGAGCCUGCUUUCGAUACGGGCGGACUAGAGGUAGGUAGGGGAGAACGGAAUUCCUGGUGUAGCGGUGGAAUGCGCAGAUAUCAGGAGGAACACCGGUGGCGAAGGCGGUUCUCUGGGCCUGUACUGACGCUGAGGUGCGAAAGCGUGGGGAGCAAACAGG